CACGUAGGGCGCAAGCGUUGUCCGGAAUUAUUGGGCGUAAAGAGCUCGUAGGCGGUCUGUUGCGUCCGCUGUGAAAACUCGGGGCUUAACCCCGAGCCUGCAGUGGAUACGGGCAGACUAGAGGUAGGUAGGGGAGAAUGGAAUUCCCGGUGUAGCGGUGAAAUGCGCAGAUAUCGGGAGGAACACCGGUGGCGAAGGCGGUUCUCUGGGCCUGACCUGACGCUGAGGAGCGAAAGCGUGGGGAGCGAACAGGAUUGAGAUACCGUU
rnacentral:rRNA from 1 species